AACGCUGGCGGCGUGCCUAAUACAUGCAAGUCGAACGCAUUUCCGUUAAAAGAAUCAGAAGUGCUUGCACGGAAGAUGAUUUUAACAAUGAAAUGAGUGGCGAACGGGUGAGUAACACGUGGGUAACCUGCCCAGAAGAGGGGGAUAACACUUGGAAACAGGUGCUAAUACCGCAUAAUAAAGAAAACCGCAUGGUUUUCCUUUAAAAGAUGGUUUCGGCUAUCACUUCUGGAUGGACCCGCGGCGUAUUAGCUAGUUGGUAAGGUAAAGGCUUACCAAGGCAGUGAUACGUAGCCGACCUGAGAGGGUAAUCGGCCACAUUGGGACUGAGACACGGCCCAGACUCCUACGGGAGGCAGCAGUAGGGAAUCUUCCACAAUGGACGAAAGUCUGAUGGAGCAACGCCGCGUGAGUGAAGAAGGGUUUCGGCUCGUAAAACUCUGUUGUUAAAGAAGAACGUGGGUGAGAGUAACUGUUCACCCAGUGACGGUAUUUAACCAGAAAGCCACGGCUAACUA
rnacentral:rRNA from 1 species